AAGCCCGCGGCUUAACCGCGGAACUGCAUUUGAAACUGGAGGGCUUGAGUGUCGGAGAGGGUAGUGGAAUUCCCAGUGUAGCGGUGAAAUGCGUAGAUAUUGGGAGGAACACCAGUGGCGAAGGCGACUACCUGGACGAUAACUGACGCUGAGGCACGAAAGCUAGGGGAGCAAACAGGAUUAGAUACCCUGGUAGUCCUAGCCGUAAACGAUGGGUACUAGGUGUAGGAGGUUUCGAUACCUUCUGUGCCGCAGCAAACGCAUUAAGUACCCCGCCUGGGGAGUACGUGCGCAAGCAUGAAACUCAAAGGAAUUGACGGGGGCCCGCACAAGCGGUGGAGCAUGUGGUUUAAUUCGAAGCAACGCGAAGAACCUUACCAGGCCUUGACAUCAUCUAGAAGGCUGUGGAAACACAGCUGUCCUUUGGACUGGAUGACAGGUGGUGCAUGGUCGUCGUCAGCUCGUGUCGUGAGAUGUUGGGUUAAGUCCCGCAACGAGCGCAACCCUUGCCUUUAGUUGCCAGCAUUAAGUUGGGGACUCUAAAGGGACUGCCGGUGACAAAUCGGAGGAAGGUGGGGAUGACGUCAGAUCAUCAUGCCCCUUAUGGUCUGGGCUACACACGUGCUACAAUGGGUGGUACAGAGGGCAGCGAAGCCGUGAGGCGGAGCGAAUCCCAGAAAGCCACUCUCAGUUCGGAUUGCAGGCUGCAACUCGCCUGCAUGAAGUCGGAAUCGCUAGUAAUCGCAGGUCAGCAUACUGCGGUGAAUACGUUCCCGGGCCUUGUACACACCGCCCGUCACACCACGAAAGUUCGCAACACCCGAAGCCGGUGGCCUAACCGCAAGGAC
rnacentral:rRNA from 1 species